CUCUGCACGGCCCUGCUGCUCUUUGUUGAUUGUUCAUCGUAAUUGUUUGCCACCCAUUUACAUGAGAGGAAGGUGAGGAGUGACCGGAGAUCAAGGAGAAGAGAAUGUUCCUGUAUGUACACGUUCAUCUCUGUCGUUUGAAGAACAGAAGGCAUUGUUGCUCUUGGAAAUGGAGAAGAAUAGAAUAAGUCAAGAAGUUGAGCUGCGCGGCCGCAGAGAUACAGGACACCUGACUCCCAUUAGGAGGUGGAGAUAAAUAUUGUGGUUUCAUGCAAUGAGGGGGGCACGGAGAGUUGACAUCAUCUCCGGUUGGCCUCGGGUUGCCUCGCUUUGGGAUCGAUCGUUGUCUGCCUUUUGUAUUGU